rnacentral:tRNA from 1 species
CCGUCUUUAGCUCAGUUGGAUAGAGCAACGGCCUUCUAAGCCGUAGGUCACUGGUUCGAAUCCAGUAAGACGGGCCA